CUAACCAGGAUUCCCCUAGUAACGGCGAGUGAAGAGGGAAAAGCCCAGCACCGAAGCCUGCGGCAGUUUUGCUGUUAGGCAAUGUGGUGUUUAGGUCGGCUCGCGGGAUUGCCACUCCACUCGAAGUCCAGCAUUGAGUAUGGUCACUGGAUUUGGCCCAGAGAGGGUGAAAGGCCCGUACGGGUGGAGGUUCAGAAAUGUAAGGCAAUUCACCAGGCCGACCUUCGAGUCGGGUUGUUUGGGAAUGCAGCCCAAAGCGGGUGGUAAACUCCAUCCAAGGCUAAAUACAAGCACGAGUCCGAUAGCGAACAAGUACCGUGAGGGAAAGUUGAAAAGUACUUUGAAGAGAGAGUAAACAGUACGUGAAACCGCAUGCAGGUAAACGGGUGGCGUCAAGCUGCAAGCCCAGAGGAUUCAGCUGGCUAGGAUUUUGUGUAUGCGCCUGCGCAUCUAUCAGUCAGAGUAGGAUGUGAUAGUCCACUGGUAAUCGGUGGGCCUGGCCGCAAGGUUGGGUGAUGUGUACCGGAUGGAAGCCGGAGCAUGCUAUCCGUCUAGGGACUGUCUAGCCAGUGCACUUUCUCUGUGGUGAACACCACGACCGGUGGAACUGCCAGUCUGCUGUAGUCAAGUUGUGCUCGGUAGGUCCUUGUGGCCAACUGGGUGCGAUCACAGGCAAACUCAGUAAACGGCGUAGAGGUGUCUCGGCACUUUUGCGUGUUAACGGCUACUGGUUGUCAACGGGCCGGCCUAGUGAUUGUUGUAACCGUCACUGGGUGGUCUGGUGGACUAUGGUGGUAAGAAAAACUGUGCAGGGCACCGGAGUUAUCGGCCUCAAAUGCACUCCCCCUACGCGUUACAAGUGGUGUGGGGUGCCAUUGCUGCCUGCCUGUUGUUGGGUCUGAUUGUCGUGUCGCCUGCGCAAAGUGGGCCCGGCAGUGGCUCGAUGCGGGAUGGGUAGUGGAUGGUGCCUCCUGUGGGAGUGUGGUGGGCCAAAUAGUCAGUGGUGUAGUGGUAGACGAGCUACCCGACCCGUCUUGAAACACGGACCAAGGAGUUUAACAUGUAUGCGAGUCAAUGGGCCCUACGAAACCCAAAGGCGCAGUGAAAGUAAAGCUUCGACUUGUUCUCGGAGUGAGGUGAGAUCCUGCUGUUACUCGCAUCAGCCUUUUGUCAGCAUCAGGCUAAGAGCAGUGGGCGCAUCACCGGCCCGUCCCAUGAUGUGGCCAUUGGAUGUACGCAGUCGUUGUUCGC
rnacentral:rRNA from 1 species